GGACGGGUGGCCGAGCGGCUGAAGGCGACGGUUUGCUAAACCGUUAUACGGGACUAAAGCCUGUAUCGCGGGUUCGAAUCCCGCCCCGUCCG
rnacentral:tRNA from 1 species